rnacentral:rRNA from 1 species
UGCUAUACAUGCAAGUCGAGCGCGGGAAGCCGGCGGACUCCUUCGGGAGGAAACCGGUGGAACGAGCGGCGGACGGGUGAGUAACACGUGGGCAACCUGCCGGACGGAUGGGAAUAACCCCGGGAAACCGGGGCUAAUGCCCAAUACGCCCUGACCUCGCCUGAGGUCAGCGGCAAAGCAGGGAUCUUCGGAUCCUUGCACCGUCCGAUGGGCCCGCGGCGCAUUAGCUAGUUGGGGAGGUAAGGGCUCCCCAAGGCGACGAUGCGUAGCCGACCUGAGAGGGUGAUCGGCCACACUGGGACUGAGACACGGCCCAGACUCCUACGGGAGGCAGCAGUAGGGAAUCAUCCGCAAUGGGCGAAAGCCUGACGGUGCAACGCCGCGUGAGUGAUGAAGGUUUUCGGAUCGUAAAGCUCUGUUGACAGGGAAGAACCCACGCCAGUCGAACAGGCUGGCGUGCUGACGGUACCUGUCCAGAAAGCCCCGGCUAACUACGUGCCAGCAGCCGCGGUAAUACGUAGGGGGCAAGCGUUGUCCGGAAUUAUUGGGCGUAAAGGGCACGCAGGCGGUUUCGUUAGUCCGAUGUGACAGGCCACGGCUCAACCGUGGAAGGCCAUUGGAAACUGCGAAACUUGAGGACAGAAGAGGAGAGUGGAAUUCCACGUGUAGCGGUGAAAUGCGUAGAUAUGUGGAGGAACACCAGUGGCGAAGGCGACUCUCUGGUCUGUACCUGACGCUGAGGUGCGAAAGCAUGGGGAGCAAACAGGAUUAGAUACCCUGGUAGUCCAUGCCGUAAACGCUGAGUGCUAGGUGUUAGGGGUUUCGAUACCCGUAGUGCCGAAGCUAACGCAUUAAGCACUCCGCCUGGGGAGUACGACCGCAAGGUUGAAACUCAAGGAAUUGACGGGGCCCGCACAAGCGGUGGAGCAUGNGGNUUAA